GACGAACGCUGGCGGCGUGCUUAACACAUGCAAGUCGAACGGUGAAGCUCCAGCUUGCUGGAGUGGAUCAGUGGCGAACGGGUGAGUAACACGUGAGCAACCUGCCCCUGACUCGGGAAUAAGCGCUGGAAACGGCGUCUAAUACUGGAUACGAAAAGGUUCCGCAGGGGCACUUUCUGGAAAGUUUUUCGGUUGGGGAUGGGCUCGCGGCCUAUCAGCUUGUUGGUGAGGUAAUGGCUCACCAAGGCGACGACGGGUAGCCGGCCUGAGAGGGCGACCGGCCACACUGGGACUGAGACACGGCCCAGACUCCUACGGGAGGCAGCAGUGGGGAAUAUUGCACAAUGGGCGAAAGCCUGAUGCAGCGACGCCGCGUGAGGGAUGACGGCCUUCGGGUUGUAAACCUCUUUCAGCAGGGAAGAAGCGAAAGUGACGGUACCUGCAGAAGAAGCACCGGCUAACUACGUG
rnacentral:rRNA from 1 species